rnacentral:rRNA from 1 species
ACGAACGCUGGCGGCAUGCCUAACACAUGCAAGUCGAACGAACUCUUCGGAGUUAGUGGCGCACGGGUGCGUAACGCGUGGGAAUCUGCCCUUUGGUUCGGAAUAACAGUUAGAAAUGACUGCUAAUACCGGAUGAUGUCUUCGGACCAAAGAUUUAUCGCCAAGGGAUGAGCCCGCGUAGGAUUAGGUAGUUGGUGGGGUAAAGGCCUACCAAGCCGACGAUCCUUAGCUGGUCUGAGAGGAUGAUCAGCCACACUGGGACUGAGACACGGCCCAGACUCCUACGGGAGGCAGCAGUGGGGAAUAUUGGACAAUGGGGGAAACCCUGAUCCAGCAAUGCCGCGUGAGUGAUGAAGGCCUUAGGGUCGUAAAGCUCUUUCACCGGUGAAGAUAAUGACGGUAACCGGAGAAGAAGCCCCGGCUAACUUCGU